CUUUAUCGGAGAGUUUGAUCCUGGCUCAGGACGAACGCUGGCGGCGUGCCUAAUACAUGCAAGUCGAGCGGACAGAUGGGAGCUUGCUCCCUGAUGUUAGCGGCGGACGGGUGAGUAACACGUGGGUAACCUGCCUGUAAGACUGGGAUAACUCCGGGAAA
rnacentral:rRNA from 1 species